CCUACGGGGGGCAGCAGUGGGGAAUAUUGGGCAAUGGGCGCAAGCCUGACCCAGCAACGCCGCGUGAAGGAAGAAGGCUUUCGGGUUGUAAACUUCUUUUGUCAGGGAAGAGUAGAAGACGGUACCUGACGAAUAAGCCACGGCUAACUACGUGCCAGCAGCAGCGGUAAUACGUAGGUGGCAAGCGUUGUCCGGAUUUACUGGGUGUAAAGGGCGUGUAGCCGGGGUUACAAGUCAGAUGUGAAAUCCUGCGGCUUAACCGCAGAACUGCAUGUGAAACUGUUGAUGUUGAGUACUGGAGAGGCAGACGGAAUUCCUAGUGUAGCGGUGAAAUGCGUAGAUAUUAGGAGGAACACCAGUGGCGAAGGCGGUCUGCUGGACAGCAACUGACGGUGAGGCGCGAAAGCGUGGGGAGCAAACAGGAUUAGAUACCCCGGUAGUC
rnacentral:rRNA from 1 species